UUUAGGCUGGGUUUCUGUACAGCACUUUGAGAUAUCAGCUGAUGUACGAAGGGCUAUAUAAAUAAAUUUGAUUUGAUUUGAUAUCAUAAGCCAAGUUGUAUUUGCUACUUAUUAUGAAAUGUUCAUGGCUUACAUGUCAUUUCAUCCAGGGUUGGGGUCAAAUCCAUUUCAAUUCUAGUCAAUUUAGGAAAUAUACUGAAAAUCCAAUUUACCUUAAUGAGGAAAAUGUUGAAUUGGAAUUUGGUUUACUUUUUGAAUUGAAUGGAAUUGACCUCAACCCUGAUUUCAUCCACUCAGUCAGUCAGUCAGUCAGUGUGCAUCCACUACAGGUGGAUAUGGAGGCUUUCUUUACUCUGACAGAUGGAGAUUUAAAGGAAUUGGGGAUUAAGACAGAUGGGCCGAGGUAUCAAAUACUGGCAGCAAUUUCUGAACUCAAUGCUGGGAAGGUCAUUUUCAUUCUUUACUAAACCCCCUUUCUGUGUUCCCUGCCUAUUUAUUUGUUUUAUUUAUAUAGUGUUUAGUUACCAAAGAGGGUUUACACCUUGAUACAUCCAAUGAAAAUAUAGAAAUUAUUAUUAUUCACCUGAAUUGUUGCUGCAGGGGAGAGAGGCAGAUUUUGCAGUAGACCAUCCACAACAUCCAGUCCUCCUUUGGCAGCAGUACCAGUAACCCCAGACCACCAGGACAUCUACGCUUUCCUACAGGCUGGGUCCGACACCAGGUGCGCACCUCUAACAAGAGGUAACAGGCAUGACACUCCGAUUGAAGACCAACCGUAUAGGAAGUCAGAGUUGACCCUAUAACCCAGGUGUGAGGAGACUCUUCUGGACGCCAGUGUUACAGAACACUCCCAGUGGGGGAGAACACUGCAGCAAAGAACCCACUGAAGGGACCCCAUGACCCACAACUGGGAGGUGGUCUGCUACUUACCGACAUAGCACAACGUGACGUGCAGCCAUCCUUCAUUGCCAUGGCAACAGGGCUGUCAUAGGGGAGAUACAGUAGAGGGAGUGAGCGGGUACUAGGAAAGAAAAUGUCUAGUCAUGCCUUAAUGGAUGUGGGAGAUGAAAGCCUUUAGGCUGAGAUUGAGACUGUUGCGACAAGCGCUGAUGAUGUACGAGAGAGUGAGUGAGAACGGACUUUCAGGCCCAGUUCCCUAGAUACAGAUUAUGUCUAGUCCUGGACUAAAAAGUACAUCCAAUUGAGAGUCUCUAUUGAACAUGCUUCUAAAUCCAAGACUAGUCUUAAUCUGUGUCUGGGAAACUGGCCCAUUCUUAAUGAAUGUGGGAGAUAAAGGUUUAAAAGGCUGGAAUUAAGAUUGUCGCACACUGAUGAUGUAAGUGAUUGGAGGAAUUCUGGUUUGCCAGAAUGAUGAGAGGGAAGAUUGUCCUCAUUUUUUGAUUUGUCUGAUUUUUCUGUUUUUUUCAGCCUCUUUCUUUUUCCACAUUCGUUUUGGCUAUUUCACUAUUGUAAGUGUUGUUACUAGUUACUGUACUAAGUCUAGUGAUUUGUGUGUGUAAACAAAGUGGGGUUUAGUCUGAUGAUGAAUGUAGUAACUGGCUGAACUGCCAUUAUUAAACCUUAUGAAAAGAUGGACCGUGUUCUUCUUUUGUUAGUAUUCAGAUUACUGCCAACCUACACAUUGCUCUCUACAGACUGUAGAGUGCACACUAACUCAACUUUCUCUGUCAUGGUUUUUGGCUUCCAAAA